rnacentral:rRNA from 1 species
AUUGAACGCUGGCGGCAGGCCUAACACAUGCAAGUCGAACGAGGGGGGGACGGGUGUGGAAUACAUCGGAAUCUACUCUGUCGUGGGGGGUAACGAAGGGAGACUUACGCUAAUACCGCACACGAUUGACUUAGCCGGUGUCGGAUUAGCGAGUUGGCGGGGUAAAGGCCCACCAAGGCGACGAUCCGUAGCUGGUCUGAGAGGAUGAUCAGCCACACUGGAACUGAGACACGGUCCAGACUCCUACGGGAGGCAGCAGUGGGGAAUAUUGGACAAUGGGCGCAAGCCUGAUCCAGCCAUGCCGCGUGGGUGAAGAAGGUCUUCGGGUUGUAAAGCCCUUUUGUUGGGAAAGCGGUACCCAAAGAAUAAGCACCGGCUAACUUCGUGCCAGCAGCCGCGGUAAUAC